rnacentral:sRNA from 1 species
GCUGGUACAAGUAGCGAAUGUGAAAGCAAUGCCCUUUUUCAAAGGAGGAUUUGCACCUUGGCGAAUGGUCAGCCGCCAGGCUGAUUUCAUGCCUAAAAUUGCCCGGUGAUACGGUCAUGCGGACGCUGCUUGCAUGGCGGGGGAGUUUAUCGGUGUCUUGCCUGUUUCAUGGAUGACCGUUAAGCAGAUAGAGGAAACCGAUGUCAA